AUGGGAGGUUCAGCUCCGAGGGCCAGCGCCACUCAGACAGUACCGAGCCCGCCUCCUGCCCUCGGGGCAUCGUUUCUCAUUGCCGACCAUCCGCGACUCCCUUCCCGAUCCAACACUCAGCCUGCGGUCCCGGGCACCCUCACUUCCCAAGCAUCCCGCUGCCUCCGCUCCCAGGUCCGACCUCCUCCCACCCGGCCUCCCGCGACCCCCUCCCGCGAGCUCCGCGACAGGGGUCCAGCCCCCAGCUACCCGACCUCGGAGCCCCGGCCCCGUCUCCCCCCAACCCACAGCCCGGCCUCUCGAUCUUCGGUCCGCCUCCCGUCCCCCGGGCUCGGCAUCUCCAGCCGGGUUUCCGCUCCCCGGCCCGGUCUCCCGUCCCCCUGUCCUCCCCCACCACCCUCCCCCAGCCUCGACGCUCCCGGCUCGGCCUCUCGAUCUGCGGUCCGGUUUCCCGGGUCGGCAUCUCCAGCCGAGUCUCCGCCGUCUGCCUCCACACCCCCGGCCCGGCCUCCCGACCCCAGGCCGACUCUCUCGCUCCGUGGGCUGCAGGCUCGUCCUCGCACUCGUCGUCGUGGCAAAACAAAGGAUCCGCAACCCGGACUGUGCCCAUCUCCUCCGUCUCCUCGGAGCAGCCGCAGGGCCCAACAGGUCCCCGGGGCGCGCGCUGGGCUGCAGGAGAUGGAGGGAGCGGGCCCCGGGCUGACGGCGCCGCGGCGAGAAGACAGGAGGGCAGCACUCACCGCUCAGCCUCCACGCACCACUCCGCGCCCCUCAGCUCUGCGCCCCGCCAGCUCCGCUUCUGUAGCCCCCACCCUGUCCGGCUCAGCUCCGUUCCGAGCACGGCCCGCCCCCUCUGGCUCCGCCCCCUCCGCGUCGACGUGUCUCCCGCCCCGCCCCACCCCGCCCCCGCCCCGAACGCCGCUCCCACAGAGGCCCGGAGCGCUCCCCGCUCGCCCGCCCGCCCGCCAGUCCAAGAACAUCGUCCCCUGCCUCCUCCAAGCCGCCCCUCACAGGCCCGGCGCGCUCUGA
rnacentral:lncRNA from 1 species